CCUACGGGAGGCAGCAGUGGGGAAUCUUGCGCAAUGGGCGAAAGCCUGACGCAGCAACGCCGCGUGCGGGAUGAAGGCCUUCGGGCUGUAAACCGCUUUCAGCAGGAACGAAAAUGACGGUACCUGCAGAAGAAGGAGCGGCCAACUACGUGCCAGCAGCCGCGGUGACACGUAGGCUCCAAGCGUUGUCCGGAUUUAUUGGGCGUAAAGAGCUCGUAGGCGGUUGAGUAAGUCGGGUGUGAAAACUCUGGGCUUAACCCGGAGACGCCAUCCGAUACUGCUCUGACUUGAGUUCAGGAGGGGAGUGGGGAAUUCCUAGUGUAGCGGUGAAAUGCGCAGAUAUUAGGAGGAACACCGGUGGCGAAGGCGCCACUCUGGACUGAAACUGACGCUGAGGAGCGAAAGCAUGGGUAGCAAACAGGAUUAGAUACCCUGGUAGUCCAUGCCGUAAACGGUGGGCACUAGGUGUGGGUUCCAACUAACGGGAUCCGCGCCGUCGCUAACGCAUUAAGUGCCCCGCCUGGGGAGUACGGUCGCAAGACUAAAACUCAAAUGAAUUGACGG
rnacentral:rRNA from 1 species